AUGGGCGCGCCAGGCGCAGCUCCCCUAGCAGGCAACAGCUUCGUCAUCCUCUCCGUCGCCGUCGUCGGCAUCCUCGCCACCAGCCUCCUCCUCCUCACCUACUACCUCUUCCUCACCCGGUGCGGCCUCGCCUCCUUGCGCCGCGACCACGAGGACGACGUCGCCACGCAGCAUCACCACCAUGUCGUCUACUCCACAGCACCAGAGCCGAGCCGCGGCCUGGAGGAGGCGGCGAUACGCCGGAUACCCACUCUCCGGUACCGGGAGUCCAAGCAGCCGCAGGCACCGCAGGCCCAGGCGGCGAGCGAGUGCGCGGUGUGCCUCAGCGAGUUCCAGGAGGGGGAGAGGCUCCGGCUGCUGCCGCCCUGCCUCCACCUCUUCCACAUCGACUGCAUCGACGCCUGGCUCCACGCCACCGCCAACUGCCCGCUCUGCCGGGCCGCCAUCUCCGGCUCCGCGUGCCAGCCCCAGCCCCACAUUAUACUCAGCCAAAUCGACAUCGUCAACGUCCUCCAACUCCAAGCCGACCACACGGUCAUCGACAUCGACUCGCCGUUCCGGGGCGAAACGAGCGACGUCGGUGCCGAUGUCGACGGCGUACCUGCGACGAUAGUGAGCAUGGGAGACGAGCGCAAUGACCCGAGGAGGGAAGAGUUGUUGGACGUGCAGCAGCCGAUGAGAAGGUCGCUGUCCAUGGACUCCUGCAACGACAAGCACUUGUACCUCGCCCUGCAGAAGGUCCUGCGCCACCACCACUCCCACUCCGCUUCUCCCGGGGAGGACCGCAAGGGGGAGAGCAGCACCCCCGCCGCCGCAGCCAGCAGCCGGGCAGCAGGGAGGUUGCGGCGGUCCUUCCUCUCCUUCAGCCACAGCCGGAGCUCCAGAAGUGCCAUCUUGCCAAUCUGA
rnacentral:rRNA from 1 species